GUGAAUCAUCGAAUUUUUGAACGCAAAUUGCGCUUCCUGGCAUCCCGGUAAGUAUGCCUGUUUGAGUGUCAGUAUUAACAAAAAAUCUGUUUGUUUGCAAAUUGUGACGUUUCCGGAGUUUGUGCUAUCUUAACUUUUUUGGUUAAGGGGCUUAAAAUUGACCUUUUUUGCGCAUUUUUAGACGUACAUAAAUUUUUUUUUAGUCCGUUUUUCUUAAUUCCAAAAUCUUAGUUGCGUCCAUCUCGUG
rnacentral:misc_RNA from 1 species